UUUGGACAAUGGGGGAAACCCUGAUCCAGCUAUCCCGCGUGUGCGAUGAAGGCCUUCGNGUUGUANANCACUUUUGGCAGGAAAGNAACGGCGCCAGCUAAUACCUGGCGCUAAUGACGGUACCUGCAGAAUAAGCACCGGCUAACUACGUGCCAGCAGCCGCGGUAAUACGUAGGGUGCAAGCGUUAAUCGGAAUUACUGGGCGUAAAGCGUGCGCAGGCGGUUCGGAAAGAAAGAUGUGAAAUCCCAGAGCUUAACUUUGGAACUGCAUUUUUAACUACCGGGCUAGAGUGUGUCAGAGGGAGGUGGAAUUCCGCGUGUAGCAGUGAAAUGCGUAGAUAUGCGGAGGAACACCGAUGGCGAAGGCAGCCUCCUGGGAUAACACUGACGCUCAUGCACGAAAGCGUGGGGAGCAAACA
rnacentral:rRNA from 1 species